rnacentral:misc_RNA from 1 species
AAAAAAAAAAAACAUUUUGACUGGAAUGUUUUGCUCUAUUAUCUGUCUCUCAUCCUGUCUUAGACAUUCCAAUUGUAGCAAGUCAUUCUUGUGUCAGAAACAGUUGAGAUGGGGUUCUUUUGAAGUUGAUCUGGACUAAUUGAAUACAAGUCAUCAUUAGAGAACAAAGUCGCAUGUUAUCAUGUUCUUUUCUGGAAAGUGUGUUAGUUUGAAUCAUGAUAUUUAUUUGGGCAGCUGAGUUAAUAAUUAACAGGAUUAUAUGAGCAAGUAGGAUGCUUAUAAUAGCAUUGAAUUUAUCGUGCACUCAUUUAUAAGAUGCAGGACUCCUCCCUUUGGCUUUGGACUCCUAGAGUGUUUUUUGUAUAAGAAUUAUCAGUAUCAUUUAAGUGUUUUCCUUUAUUGCUUUAAUUAUUCUCUGCUUUUUGUUUCUUUAACAGCAUGUGCUGGAGCAUGGAAAA